rnacentral:rRNA from 1 species
GAUGAACGCUGGCGGCGUGCCUAAUACAUGCAAGUCGAGCGAACGGACGAGAAGCUUGCUUCUCUGAUGUUAGCGGCGGACGGGUGAGUAACACGUGGAUAACCUACCUAUAAGACUGGGAUAACUUCGGGAAACCGGAGCUAAUACCGGAUAAUAUUUUGAACCGCAUGGUUCAAAAGUGAAAGACGGUCUUGCUGUCACUUAUAGAUGGAUCCGCGCUGCAUUAGCUAGUUGGUAAGGUAACGGCUUACCAAGGCAACGAUGCAUAGCCGACCUGAGAGGGUGAUCGGCCACACUGGAACUGAGACACGGUCCAGACUCCUACGGGAGGCAGCAGUAGGGAAUCUUCCGCAAUGGGCGAAAGCCUGACGGGGCAACGCCGCGUGAGUGAUGAAGGUCUUCGGAUCGUAAAACUCUGUUAUUAGGGAAGAACAUAUGUGUAAGUAACUGUGCACAUCUUGACGGUACCUAAUCAGAAAGCCACGGCUAACUACGU